rnacentral:lncRNA from 1 species
CGGACAUGGCACUGCUUGUCAAGCCAUGCUGUGCUUUUGCUCCAUCCCACAAGGUUUGGAAAUUCAGAAGAAAUUAGAAGCCGCAAAAGAAAGACACAAGUCCCAAGAAGGUGAGGUCUUGAAGCAGCUUGCUGAGAAAGGAGAGCACCAGAAACAAAUGUUUCAGAAAGCAGUAGAAGAGAACACAACUUCAGUAAAAUGGCAGAAGAGGAGCUGACCCACAAAAUGGAAGAGAACCAAGAGGCACAGAUGGAUUCCAAGCUGGAGCACGUGUGAGAGAAAGACAAGCACGUGGAAGAAGCAUGGGAGAAGCAUGAAUUCAAAGACCCUGCCGAUGAGACUGAGGCUGACAACUUGUUCCGAGAACUGACUUUCUCCCCCUCCACUGCCUACAUAUCCAAAGACUGUACCGGCCAGCGUCACUUUAUUUUGGCCCUCUUGACAAAUAUUCCAGAAGCUGAUAUAGGACUGUACAGGUAGAUCCAGACUGUAUGAUGUUGUUUUAAGGGCUGAAGGGGAGAAACUAAAAGUGUUUUACUCUUUUUCUAAAAUGCUGAAGUCUUUCUAAUGUGGCUAUUUUUCUUGUGGCAUCUUUUCUGCUUUGGUACACUUGGUGUACUGGGUUAAUGGCUAGUACUGUAUUGGCUCUGUGAAAACAUGUUUGUGAAAAGAGAAGGUAGUGGCUUCUUUCAAACUAUUAGAGAGAAUGUCUGUUCACUAUUAAAUUCCAAUUCCGUCCGAUCUUACCAGAUGCUGCUGCACUUGAAUGAUUAAUAAAACUGC